rnacentral:lncRNA from 10 species
CUUUGCUCUCCUGACAGCUGCCUGCAUCUGGAAAACAUUAAAUAACCUCAUCCUUUAUGUGGAUUCAUUAUGCUCUUCAAAUUCAUUAUCAAUUAUCAACUGACUGUGAAGAAUGUUUGAAAUCAAAAUGAAGAGGAAGUAAUUAAUGAUGAAGAGUAGGAUCUAGAAGGAAAGAGGCAGCUUCAGAGAACCAUCUGUUGAUGUGGCCAGGAAAUGCUGGCUGAGAUCCCAACAAAGGAGCCGAGAAGUCCUGGCCAAUGUCUGGCACCUGUGUAAAUGUCUGUCACAGCAAGAGUGACCCCCAUAAUUACCUCGACCUUAUUCAAGCGAGAAGUGCCCGUCAGCCUGAGCCCGGUUUGAGAGGCACGCCUGCUGCUCCGUCCCUCCCCCGUGAGCGCGCCAGCUGAAUCUCCAGCUCAGCAGCAGCCCCAAAGCCCCCAUCAUCAGAAUUUCACCUCCUCCAGCAGCAGGAGACCUCCUCCAAGUUGGGGGAGGCGCCCCACACAGUCCUGACAUCAAGGGCUUUCCUCAGAAACACCCCAGCUGGGGGCUUUCUUUUGACUCACAGCACUUUCAGCCAGGAUGUUCAUGAGCCUGGGGUCCAUUGUUUGUGAAGUCAACUGGAUUCCAAGUUUAAACAUGCAGAGGAAAGGAGGAGUUCCUCAAGCACCUCUGAACUCCAGCAGCUCUGGAAUAUUCCCAUUUCAACAUUCCCACCUGCGCUCCGUCCUCCCUCCUGCCUCUUCCAUCAUAGGGGAUGAGAUGUGUCCUUUUCAAAGGGUGUGAGGAACAACUGUUAUGCACAGAACUAAGGUUAGAAAACACCUUGUAAGUCAACUGAUUAACAAGCACAUGGUCUGGAGAUCAGAAGUCCAAAAAAUGGGUCUCACUGAGCUACAAUCAAGGUGUCAACAGGCUGUGUCCUUUCCUGGAGGCUCUGGGAGAGAAUCGGUAUCCUUGCUCUUUUCCCACUUCGAGAGGCUGCCACAUUCCUUGGCUGGUGGCUCCUUCCUCCAUCUUCAAAGCCAGCGACAGAUGGUGAAUGGAGUCCUUUCACGUGGCUCACUCUGCCCUUGUUCCUGCUGUCACAUCCCCCCUUCUCUGUCUGACUUUUCUGUCCCCUUCCUCCACUCUUGUCAUUACCUUGGGCCCAUCUGAAAAUCCUGGAUCGUCCCCCUAAUUAAAGUCAGUGGACUAGCAACUUUAAUUCCAUCUGCAACCUUAGUUCCCUUCUGUCAUGUAGCCUAACCUCAUCACGAGUGUCAGGGAUUUGCACGUGGACAUCCUCAGGGACCCCAUCGUGAGUGGUUGGGGGGAUGUGGCCAGAAAGAAGGCAGUGGCAGAAUGCCCAAGAACUCUGCAGCUGCGCUGAGGCAUCUGAGAGCCAAGGAGGAAACCUUCUUUGUGGUUAAGUAAGAAUGAACUAAUAUCCAUCUGGCAUUUGGCAUUUUACACUGCACUUUUUGUACAUUAUCUCAUUGGAUCUUAAAAACAG